CGGAGGGUGCAAGCGUUAUCCGGAAUCAGUUGGGUUUAAAGGGUGCGCAGGCGGAAUUUUAAGUCAGUGGUGAAAUCCCUUCGCUUAACGAGGAACUGCCAUUGAUACUGAAAUUCUUGAAUUUGGUUGGCGUGGGCGGAAUGUGCCAUGUAGCGGUGAAAUGCUUAGAUAUGGCACAGUACACCGAUCGCGAAGGCAGCUCACGAAACCAUUAUUGACGCUCAGGCACGAAAGCAUGGGGAGCAAACAGGAUUAGAUACCCUGGUAGUCCCAUGCUGUAAACGUUGAUCACUCGACAUUGGCGAUAUACUGUCAGUGUCCUAGCGCAAGUGAUAAGUGAUCCACCUGGGGAGUACGCCCGCAAGGGUG
rnacentral:rRNA from 1 species